ensembl:lncRNA
CUUUGUCUGCAGUCAUGCAGUCAUCCAGUGAUUGAGAGGAGAGAGGAGGCUUUCAACGAACGAUAUAUCAUGAAGAGAUAUGUGAAAAACACCUUGAGGAUUGAUUCUAAACAAUGUUUACCAUGUUUCAGUCGAUAUUAUGGAGUUAACUUGGAAAAAAGUUCGGCGUUUUGAAGACUGAAUUUUCGGGUUUUGUUGGUAGCCAAACGUGACGCACCAAACGGAGCAAUUUCUCCUGAACAAAUAAUCUUUCAGGAAAAACUGAGCAUUUGCUAUCUAACUGAGAGUCUCCUCAUUGAAAACAUCUGAAGUUCUUCAAAGGAGGACCUUAGCCCUAGGACCAUGCAUCAGGACUACCUGGCAUGAUGACUCCUUGCUGUCCCCAGUCCACCUGGCCUUGCCGCUGUUCCAGUUUCAACUGUUCUGCCUGAGGCUAUGGAACCCUAAACUGUUCAUUUUUACUCUUGAGGUGCUGUCCUGUUGCACCCUCUACAACCACUGUGAUCUCCACCCAGCACAGCCAGAAGAGAACUGGCCACCCCUCAUAGCCUGGUUCCUCUCUAGGUUUUUGCCUUUCUAGGGAGUUUUUCCUAGCCACUGUGCUUCUACACCUGCAUUGCUUGCUGUUUGGGGUUUUAGGCUGGGACUAUAUAAAUUGAUUUGAUUUGCUAGAGUACUGAGGGUCUUCCAAAUAUUGAAAGUGUGUAAAUAGUUACCCAUGUGAUUUUGUAAAUAUAUAUAUAUAUAUAUAUAUAUUUUUUUUAUCAAUAAUUAUUUUUUUCCAUUUUUUUUUCUCAUUUUUUUUUUUGGGGGUGUGUUAGAAUACCAUUUUGGUAUUUCGUAUAUAGUUAUUUGUUUCAAAAUGCAUACCUUCACCAAUUUGGUUACUUGGGUACAUUUGGGCUACUUGUGUGGGACACCUGGGUGACUUCAUGAUAAAUGUCAUGUAGCACACUCAUUUUGGAAGUUAUCGUUCUGGAACUUUGCACAGGUACUGUUGUCCUAUUAUAUUUUUCACUGAAAUUGUCCCCAUCAUCCUAUCUGAAUAUUUGUUUUAUCUUGUUCAUUUUAAAGAUGACGUAUGUUUUUUUUUCAUUGUUUUAUCUAAACCAGAUCUAUUGUGGUAUAUUCUCCUACAUUCAAUUCACAUUUCCAAAAACUUCAGAGUGUUUUCUUUCAAAUGGUACCAAGAAUAUGCUUAUCCUUGGUUUUGUGCCUGAGCUACAGACUGUCAGAUUUGGGUAUGUCUUCAGGGUGGAAAUUGCACAAAGUAGUGGGGGAGCUCUAAGAGGUUUUAACUGUGCCUUGAAUUCUAAAUAAAUCACAUACAGUGUCACCAGCAAAGCACCAUCACACCUCCUCCUCCACACAUUACACCUCCUCCUCCACAUUAACUCCCUAAAGUUUUGGGACACCGUAAAACCCAUGGAGAAUAAGAGCACCUCCUUCCAACUGCCCACUGCACUGAGGCUAGGAAACACUGUCACCACCGAUAAACCCACGAAAUCGAGAAUUUCAAUAAGUAUUUCUCUACGGCUGACCAUGCUUUCCUACUGGCAAACCCAACCUUGGCCAACAGCCGCAUCUACUUUCCCAAGCCUCCCCAGCUUCUCCUUCACCCAAAUCCAGAUGUUUUGAAAGAGCUGCAAAACCUGGACCCCUACAAAUCAGCUGGGCUAGACAAUCUGGACCCUCUCUUUCUAAAUUUAUCCGCCACCAUUGUUGCAACCCCUAUUACCAGUCUGUUCAAACUCUCUUUCAUAUCGUCCGAGAUCCCUAAAGAUUGGAAAGCUGCCGCGGUCAACCCCUCUUCAAAGGGGGUGACCAUCUAGACCCAAACUGUUACAUACCUAUAUCCAUCCUGCCCUGCCCUGCCCUGCCUUUCUAAGGUCUUCAAAAGCCAUUAAUAAACAGAACUGACCAUUUCAAAUCCCACCAUACCUUCUCCACUGUGCAAUCCGGUUUCUGAGCUGGUCACAGGUGCACCUCAGCCACGCUCAAGGUACUAAAUGAUAUCAAAACUGCCAUCGAUAAAAGACAGUACUAUGCAGCCAUUUUCAUCAACCUGGCCAAGGCUUUCAACUCUGUCAUUCACCAUAUUCUUAUCAGUAGACUCAACAGCCUUGGUUUCUCAAAUGCCUGCCUCGCCUGGUUCACCAACUACUUCUCUGAUAGAGUUCCGUGUGUCAAAUCAGAGGGCCUGUUGUCUGGAUCUCUGGCAGUCUCUUUGGGGGUGCCACAGGGUUCAAUUCUCGGGCUGACUCUUUUCUCUGUAUACAUCAAAUAUGUCGCUCUUGCUGCGAGUGAUUCCCUGAUCCACAUGUCACCUGCUCCUCCGCACACUCCACUGGCUUCCAGUCAAAGCUCGCAUCCACUACAAGACCAUGAUGCUUACCUACGGAACAGCAAGAGGAACUGCCCCUCGUUACCUUCAGGCUAUGUUUGAACCCUACACCCCAACCCAAGCACUCCGUUCUGUCACCUCAGGUCUCAUGGCCCUCCCACCCCUACAGCUCCCGCUCAGCUGAGUCCAAGCUCUUCUCUGUCCUAGCACACCAAUGGUGGAACCAGCUUUCUGCUGAAGCUAGGACAGCAGAUUCCCUGCCCAUCUUCCGAAAACAUCUGAAACCCUACCUCGUCAAACAGUAUCUUAAAACCUCUUGCGACGAGCAAUCCCGUAUCCGGGAGCGUAAUCAUAGCCUCAAGAGCAUUACCAUAACGCAACUUUUCCUAUUCAUGAAAAUCGCAAAUGAAAUGAAAUAAAUAUAUUCAAACACAAGCUUAGCCUUUUGUUAACAUCACUGUCAUCUCAGAUUUUCAAAAUAUGCGUUACAGCCAACGCUAGACAAGCAUUUGUGUAAGUUUAUCAUGGCAUAAUGCUAUGCUAGGCUCUGCUGGCAGCAGGCAACAUUUUCACAAAAAUAAGAAAAGCAAACAAAUUAAAUCAUUUACCUUUGAAGAACUUCAGAUGCUUUCACUCAGGAGACUCCCAGUUAGAUAGCAAAUGUUCCUUUUUUCCAAAAAUAAUAUUUUUGUAGGCGAAAAACGUCCCGUUUGUUCAUCCUGCUUGGCUGACAAAUCGACCGAAAAAUACUUUAACUAUAACGCAGAACUUUUUGCAAAAUUUGCUCCAUAAUAUCGACAGAAACAAGGCAAACGUUGUUUAGGAUCCAUCCUCAAGGUGUUUUUAAUUAAGCAUAUCCCUAAGCAUAUUGUUUAUGAACGCUUGGAACACAGCCGGGGUGUUGGUCAGGCCAAAGGGCAUCACCAAGUAUUCGUAGUGACCAGUAGGCGUGUUGAAAGCCGUCUUCCACUCGUCACUGGGUCUGAUCCGCACAAGAUGGUAUGCGUUCCGCAGGUCAAGCUUAGUGAAGACAACUGCUUCCUGGAGCAGCUCAAAGCCUGUGGCCAUAAGGGGUAGCGGGUAGCGGUUACGGACGGUUAUGACAUUGAGUGCCCGGUAGUCGAUGCAAGGACGUAAUCCACCGUCUUUUUUGGCCACAAAGAAAAACCUUGAUCCGGCCGGCGAGGUGGAUGGACGCAUGACGCCUGCUGCCAGAGCGUCCUUGAUGUAGGUAUCCAUAGCAGCUCGUUCAGGAGGAGAUAGGGAAAAGAUCCGACCACUGGGGGGGCAGGUGCCCGGAAACAGGUCGAUGGGGCAAUCGAUAGUUCUAUGGGGUGGUAGCAUGGUGGCCCUCUGUUUGCUAAAUACCGGUUUGAGGUCAUGGUAACACUCAGGAACUCGGGACAGGUCGAUGGAUUCUAGAGACUCGGGAGGAGAACUCGGGGAACUCGGGAAGAUACAAGUGGCUUGGCACGUAGGACCCCACUGCUUGAUAGUGCCCACAGACCAGUCGAUGUGAGGGUUAUGGCUGUGAAGCCAGGCGUAUCCAAGGAC